rnacentral:rRNA from 1 species
AACGAACGCUGGCGGCAUGCCUAACACAUGCAAGUCGAACGAGACCUUCGGGUCCAGUGGCGCACGGGUGCGUAACGCGUGGGAACCUGCCCUUAGGUUCGGAAUAACUCCCCGAAAGGGGUGCUAAUACCGGAUAAUGUCUUCGGACCAAAGAUUUAUCGCCUUUGGAUGGGCCCGCGUUGGAUUAGCUAGUUGGUAGGGUAAAAGCCUACCAAGGCGACGAUCCAUAGCUGGUCUGAGAGGAUGGUCAGCCACACUGGGACUGAGACACGGCCCAGACUCCUACGGGAGGCAGCAGUGGGGAAUAUUGGACAAUGGGCGAAAGCCUGAUCCAGCAAUGCCGCGUGAGUGAUGAAGGCCUUAGGGUUGUAAAGCUCUUUUACCCGGGAUGAUAAUGACAGUACCGGGAGAAUAAGCUCCGGCUAACUCCGUG